rnacentral:rRNA from 1 species
AACAAGCCCUUACGGGGAAAGUUUUAACGCCGAAAGAUGAGCCCGCACUUGAUUAGCUAGUUGGUAAGGUAAAAGCUUACCAAGGCAAUGAUCAAUAGCUGUUCUUAGAGGAAGACCAGCCACAUUGGGACUGAGACACGGCCCAGACUCCUACGGGAGGCAGCAGUGGGGAAUCUUGCACAAUGGGGGAAACCCUGAUGCAGCGAUGCCGCGUGAGUGAAGAAGGCCUUUGGGUUGUAAAACUCUUUCGUCGGGGAAGAAAAUGAGUGUACCCGAAUAAGGAGGUCCGGCUAACUUCGUGCCAGCAGCCGCGGUAAUACGAAGGGACCUAGCGUAGUUCGGAAUUACUGGGCUUAAAGAGCUCGUAGGUGGUUAAAAAAGUUGAUGGUGAAAUCCCAAGGCUCAACCUUGGAACUGCCAUCAAAACUUUUUAGCUAGAGUGUGAUAGAGGUAAGUGGAAUUUCUAGUGUAGAGGUGAAAUUCGUAGAUAUUAGAAAGAACACCAAAUGCGAAGGCAACUUACUGGGUCACUACUGACACUGAGGAGCGAAAGCAUGGGUAGCGAAGAGGAUUAGAUACCCUCGUAGUCCAUGCCGUAAACGAUGUGUGCUAGACGUUGGAAAUAUAUUUUUUCAGUGUCGCAGCGAAA